rnacentral:rRNA from 1 species
AGUUAACGUUGGCGGCGUGCCUAGCACAUGCAAGUCGAACGCGUCCUAAGGGCAACUUUAGGAUGAGUGGCGAACGGGUGAGUAUCACGUGGGUAAUCUUCCUUUAAGUGGGGAAUAAGCUCUCGAAAGGGAGUCUAAUACCGCAUGACAUUCCGGGACACAAGUCCCGUAAUCAAAGCCGCAAGGCGCUUGAAGAUGAGCCUGCGUCCUAUUAGCUAGUUGGUGGGGUAACGGCCGUACCAAGGCUCAGAUGGGUAGCCGGCCUGAGAGGGUGAACGGCCACACUGGGACUGAGACACGGCCCAGACUCCUACGGGAGGCAGCAGUGAGGAAUUUUGCGCAAUGGGGGAAACCCUGACGCAGCGACGCCGCGUGGAGGAUGAAGGCCUUCGGGUCGUAAACGUCCUGUCAGAGGUGAAGAAUGCCGCAACGGGUUGACGGUAACCGUCAGAGGAAGCCCGGCUAACUAACGUGCCAGCAGCCGCGGUAAAGUCACGUCG